GAGUGGCAGACGGGUGAGUGACGCGUAGGAAUCUACCUCUUGGUGGGGAAUAGCCCCGCGAAAGCGGGGGUAAUACCGCAUAAUGUGCUUCGGCAUUAAAGGGCGUAACUGCCCGCCGGGAGAGGAGCCUGCGUCCUAUCAGCUUGUUGGUGGGGUAAUGGCCUACCAAGGCGAUGACGGGUAGCCGGUGUGAGAGCACGACCGGCCACAAGGUCACUGAGACACGGGGCCUACACCUACGGGUGGCAGCAACCGGGAAUAUUGCGCAAUGGGCGAAAGCCUGACGCAGCGACACCGCGUGUGGGAUGAAUGCCUUCGGGUUGUAAACCACUGUGGCGAGGGAGGAAGUUCUGACAGUACCUCGCUAGAAAGCACCUGCUAACUACGUGCCAGAAGCCUCGGCAAUACGUAGGGUGCAAGCGUUAUCCGGAUUUACUGGGCGUAAAGGGUUUCGCAGGUGGAUUAGUUAGUCCAAUCUUAAAGGCUACGGCUCAACUGUAGAAAUGGAUUGGAUACUGCUAGUCUAGAGGACAUCAGGGGAGACUGGAAUUCUCGGUGGAGGGGUGAAAUCCGUUGAUAUCGAGAGGAACGUCGAUGGCGAAGGCAAGUCUCUGGGGUGUUCCUGACACUCAUGUACGAAAGCUAGGGUAGCAAACGGGAUUAGAGACCCCGGUAGUCCUAGCCGUAAACGAUGGAUACUAGUUGCUUGGCAUUCGUGCCGGGUGGCGUAAGCUAACGCGUUAAGUAUCCCGCCUGGGUAGUACGGUCGCAAGGCUAAAACUCAAAGGAAUUGACGGGGAUCUGCACAACCAGUGGAGCAUGUGGUUUAAUUCGAUACAAAGCGAAGGACCUUACCUGGACUUGACAUGUAUCUGCACGCCCUGUGAAAGCAGGGAAGCCUUCGAGGGUGAUACACAGGUGUUGCAUGGCUGUCGUCAGCUCGUGUCGUGAGACGUCUGCUUAAGUGCAGUAACGAGCGCAACCCCUGUCCUGUGUUGUAUUUCUCACGGGAGACUGCCUUACAGCAAGUAGGGAGGAAGGAGGGGACGACGUCAAGUCAGCAUGACCCUUACGUCCAGGGCAACACACAUCCUACAAUGGGGAGGACAACGGGUAGCGACGGGGUAACCCUGAGCCAAUCCUUCAAACCUCCUCUCAGUUCGGAUUGUAGGCUGCAACUCGCCUACAUGAAGUCGGAAUUGGUAGUAAUCGCAGGUCAGCAGACUGCGGUGAAUACGUUCUCAGAUCUUGUACACACUGCCCGUCACGCCAGCAAAGUCGGCAGAGCCCGAAGCGGGAGUUCCUAACCAUGCUCGCAUGGAUGGACCCUUCUAAGGCUAGGUCGGCGAUGAGGACGAAGUCGUAACAAGGUAACC
rnacentral:rRNA from 1 species